UACGGGGGGAGCAAGCGUUGUUCGGAUUUACUGGGCGUAAAGGGCGCGUAGGCGGCCACCGCAAGUCAAUUGUGAAAUCUCCGGGCUUAACUCGGAAAGGUCAACUGAUACUGCGGGGCUAGAGUGCGGAAGGGGCAACUGGAAUUCUCGGUGUAGCGGUGAAAUGCGUAGAGAUCGGAAAGAACACCAACGGCGAAAGCACUCUGCUGGGCCGACACUGACACUGAGAGACGAAAGCUAGGGGAGCGAAUGGG
rnacentral:rRNA from 1 species